rnacentral:lncRNA from 1 species
GCCUGGGGGCAGUAUCCAGUCUCCCCAGGGAUUGUUCGGAGUUGCCUCUUCCCCUGUUUCUCGGGGCAAGGCUUAAAGCUGGCUUAGCCUCUGGCUCCCUGCAGCCCAGGGCAGAGUGUCUUCAAAGGGAGCCUGUUUCCUUCAUCACAAGUUGACCCAGGAAGGAGAAAGGAGAAUUCCUAGACAGAGGGGGCCUGAAGGCCAGAGGGCAAAGGGGACACUGGCUCUCCAAAAACCACACAGCCUGGAGAGACACUAGGGGUUUCUGGGGCCCAAGACACUUUUCACAACUGACCCAUACCUGGGAUGCAUGCACUAUGGGAUGUGCUAAACAGUUGAAUGAGACCCCCAUGAUAAUAAUUAUUGUGAGACUGAACAAAAGUUACUCCAUUUUGUAAUAAGGCCCCAUCUUGUCUGUUUCUGUUACACUUCACCAUGGGGACGUCGAGUUCCCAGAAUGUGUUUGUUGCUGUUCCAAGGAAACCGCAAGUUAGCCUUAUGCCUGUUAUGUAAAGAUUGGUUGCUACACUACCCCAACCGCCAACGUCUCGCUUCUGUACUUUUGUUUGCCAAGUCCCCUCUUGCGACCCCUAUAAAAAGACCUCAGUCCCUGAGCUGGCGGCCUCUCUAAGCUUGGUGCUUGGAGGGUGCCAUCUGGCCAGACUAAUAAAGGUCUGUUUUACUUCCACAACUUGUCUGGUGUGUUCCCUCCUGGGUGAUCUUCACUGUAGUCAGCUCCUUGGAGCAUUUGGUGAGGCCCACAGUCUUACAUUAUAAUAUUAAUGAUAUUAAUAUUUAUGAUAAUAAUCUCAUUUACAUCGUGGUUUUGACACCCCCUCUCCAGCGAGGCUCCAUGUUUGGGCUCCAUGACAGUUCCUCAAGGGUGCAUAGAGGGACAAAAAUUCCCCCUCCAACAGACAGGAAGAGACUUGGCCCUGAGUGGAGUGAAGCUGAGCUAGCUUACCGGGCUGCUCCCUCCCUGCAGAACAACACAGACUCCACAUUUG